GACGAGCCUCACAAACGUUAUUCGGAAUUACUGGGCUUAAAGGGUGCGUAGGCGGCGCGGAAAGUUGGGUGUGAAAUCCCUCGGCUCAACCGAGGAACUGCGCCCAAAACUACCGUGCUCGAGGAAGAUAGAGGUGAGCGGAACUUACGGUGGAGCGGUGAAAUGCGUUGAUAUCGUAAGGAACACCCGUGGCGAAAGCGGCUCACUGGGUCUUUUCUGACGCUGAUGCACGAAAGCUAGGGGAGCAAAC
rnacentral:rRNA from 1 species